UACGGAGGGUGCGAGCGUUGUCCGGAAUCAUUGGGCGUAAAGCGCGUGUAGGCGGCGUGGCAAGUCGGGUGUGAAAGCCCUCAGCUCAACUGAGGAAGUGCGCCCGAAACUGCUGUGCUUGAGUGCCGGAGAGGAUGGCGGAAUUCCCCAAGUAGAGGUGAAAUUCGUAGAUAUGGGGAGGAACACCGGUGGCGAAGGCGGCCAUCUGGACGGUAACUGACGCUGAGACGCGAAAGCGUGGGGAGCGAACAGG
rnacentral:rRNA from 1 species